AACGCACCUUGCGCUCCUUGGUACUCCGAGGAGCAUGCCUGUUUGAGUGUCAUUAAAUUCUCAACCUUACCAGCAUUUGUUGGUAUUGGCUUGGAUAUGGGGGUUUUUUUUUGCUGGCUUUGUCAAGAAGUCUGCUCCCCUUAAAUGCAUUAGCUGGUGCCCUGCGUGGAUCCCGUCUAUUGGUGUGAUAAUUAUCUAUGCCGUGGAUGGUCUGCUUUAAAUGGGAUGCACUGCUUCCAACCGUCCUUUUAGUCGGACAAUUAAUGACAAUUUGACCUCAAAUCAGGUAGGACUACCCGCUGAACUUAA
rnacentral:misc_RNA from 1 species